rnacentral:tRNA from 1 species
GGAGAGGUGGCAGAGUGGUUGAAUGCGGCGGUCUUGAAAACCGUUGAGGGCUUUGUCCUCCGGGGGUUCGAAUCCCUCCCUCUCCGCCA